AAUACAUAGUCUGUGACCACCAAACCUCACCCAAUCUCACCUCGACCUCGACCUCGACCUCGACCCCCUCGUACUCCAAUCACUACGCUACCCCAACACUCUCAAACCCUCCUAACAACUCUACAAUCAGAACUGCUUCCUUCAAACCCCACACGAUCCCAACUCCCACCUUUGCUUCUUCCUCGACAAUUACUACGACUUCGACCUCAAUUUCUUCUACCCUAAUGGUGCGAAACUUCAAGUUCUAGCCCCCCAAUCUUCCAAGCUGAAUCAACCGAAGAACAACUCGAAGCUCUCUUCGAUUACCACCGUGUUCAACCCUUUGAUGUUGUCUGCCUCGACGGGUUCACAUGGCUUCAUGACAUCACAUAAAUGGCGUGACACAAUUGGAGCUUUUAUAAAUGUUGACACAUCUGGGACAGGAGGCCUAGGAAUCUAUACAUAAAGAGAAUUCUUCCAUGCAUGAAAGAUUUCAAUUGUCCAAGAUAUUUUAAUGUUUGAUUCACUCCAUGGAAGCACCUGUUUGCAUUAUGCUGCUUUCUAUGGCCAUCUAGAUUGCCUACAAGCUAUUCUUUCUGCUGCCCUUUCCACCUCUGUUGCACAUUCCUGGGGAUUUGCAAGGGUUGUGAAUAUAAGAGAUAAAAAUGGAGCAACCCCAUUGCACUCGGCAGCCUGACAAGGAUGGCCGGAGUGUGUUCAUAUGUUGUUAGAUAGUGGGGCUCUUGUUUGUGCAUCUACUAGGGGAUAUGGGUAAAACUCUCUUAUUGAAGGUUUUCUAGUAUAAUGCAAUAGCACUGUUAAUUUGUCAUUAAUAUUUAUAAGAGUCCUGCUGCUGUGUGUUCUCUUGUGUGUUCAUAUGUAGUUUGAAGCUUUUUCUUCUAAGGGCAAAUGCUGCUGUGUUAACUUCUCCAGCCACAGAACAAGUAAAGAAUGUUGUGAUGUCAAUUUGUUUUCUUGUUUAACAAUUUAUUUUUUAAAGAGCUGCCCUUGAAAUUUGUUCGUAUUUGCAUUUUCUACUAUAUUUAUCAGCGAGGUUAGAAUUUCAAGAUGCCUUAACUGUGAAUUAUAUGAGCAUUUGCACUGUUUUAUCAAUAUGUGUUUGGAGAUGAUGUAUAAAAUAAGUUAUUAACUGGAAGAAUCUAUGAUAAUCAUUACUAAUGAUUUUGCUUGCCUUAGUCAUUGUUGGGGCAUGAAUCGACAUCUAGAGUCCUUUUUAGUUCUUCUCUGUAUUCUCUUACUUAGAGAAAAAAAAAUAAUCUUCUCUAUAUUUGGCCAUAUGUCUCAAAGAGUCAAAGACCAAUUGUAAAUAGUAUAAAUGGAUUAGUUGCAGAUCUGAUUCAUGAAGAUUUUGAUUUUUCAUUUAUGAAUUUAAACUCGUCGUGCUUCUCUUAGGGUGUACCGUAUAAAGAAUGGUUUGGAAUCGCUACAGCUUUCAUUUUAAUUACUAGAUUCCUGGUAAGUAAUAACCAUAAUUGGCGAUUUCCUUUUUGUUGUUGUAUUUAUUUAUUUAUUUAUUUUUUCACAUAAAAAUAAAAAUAACCAAGAUCAAACAUAGGUGGUGGUCUAUACAAUUUCUUUGUCUACCACAAUUCUAGUGUAUACUUACUUUGUGAUUCUGUGAUUUGGGUAGAAGGUAAAGAGAAAACAAGAAAAUAUCUAUUUUAUUGAUUUUCUGAAUGAAUGAACAUUAUAUAGAGAAGAUAGUAUAUAUACAAGAGUGAUCUACUUAACCUAACCAUAACCCGUCUAACUAAACUAUAGUUAAACUCUAACAAACUAACUACCUAGCCUUGAUAAUACUUACGUGACUAUUGGAGCUAUUGCUCUAACGCUGCUGAGCUGUUGUGGCUGUUGCUUUGCUUUGGA